rnacentral:lncRNA from 1 species
ACAGUAAGAUCAUAGCUUCAGGACCUAAGUAGCUCCUGGGGAUGGGAAAGAGAUGACUGACUGAGGUGGUUGAUGGGAUUCUUACAGCAACAAAGCACCAUCUUGGAAGCAGAGAGCCACCCUCACCAGAACUGAAUGCAGGCACCGUGACCUUGAACUUCCCAGCCUCCAGAACUAUGUGAGUGCACAUGGAAAUUUAUGGAGUCUCUCAGCAUUGUAGAAGAGCCUCUGUUUCUUCUCACUGGUUCCUGUCCUCCUCAGCUUGGUAUAUAACUCCUGAGGGCUGAAUACCUGGUUGCUGAAGGAUCCAGUCCCUGCCCUAUAACCGAGGAAGAAUUUCUACUUCCCCUUCCUGUCCAGAAGUGAUAUUCCCAGAGGAACAGUGAAAACAUGAGAUUCAAGAUUCUGUGAGCUGGACAGCAGAUGGAGGCACACUGACAGCAGAUGGAGGACAUAAAGCUGACAGUUAAGAGACAUGUGAAUGGGUUGAUGGGGAAUGAUCUCUUUGUGAAGUCUGUUGUUGGCAACACAUUGCGGCAGAAGAAACAGCUCAGUGAUGGUCCCCACAGCUGCCAUUCUCCAGUCUUGAAGUUGGUGUAUGACCUCACUGUGACCGACCCCCUAUGGGCUGACAAUGUGGAAAACAGUAAUGGUCAAGAAAUCCUCCCUGUCCUUUUGUGUUCCAGGCAGAGAGCCACCCUUCCCCAUGUGACUUGGGGAAGACUCAUGGAUGAGCUCCUUGAGAACCUAUGACGAAGCCAGACACAACCCCUCCUAGGGUCUGAAAGUUUGUGUCCUUCCAAAUUCAUAUGUUGAAAUCCUAACCCCCGAGGUGAUGGUAUCAGGAAGUGGGGCCUUGGGAGGUGGUUAGGUCAUAAGAUUGGAGCUCUUAUGUAUGGAAUCAGUGAUUUAAAAAGGCCCCAGAGAGCUGCCUUGCUCCUUAAGACAUGUGAGGAUACAGCAAGAAGGUGCUGUCCAUGAGAAAGCUGGCCCUCACCAGAAACCAAUCCUACAGAUGCCUUGAUCUUGGACUUCACAGCCUCCAGCACUGUGAGCAAUGAGUUUUUGUUGUUUAUAAGCCACCUAGUCUAUGGUAUUUUGUUAUGGCAGCUUGAACAGACUAAGCCAACCCUCCAAAUUUUCAUUCUUUGGUCCUCACUGACUAAUCUGAACAAACUGCUCAUCAACUUAACUUGUUCAAACUUAAUGAGGCUUCUCUCCCUCCCCAGGCCUUUGAACUUUGGCUGGCCCCUGAGCUUAAGCAAGCACUAAAACACAGAACAUCUCUCCUCAGUGAUCCUUCCCUGUUCAAAUUGUCUGUUCACACCACCUGCUCAUCCCACUCCCGCACAGCCACUCCUCUCUAGUAUUCUCUACUCCUUCACAUAAAAAGAGAAGCCCUUAGCCGGGUGCAGUGGCUCAUGCCUGUACUCUCAACACUUUGGGAGGCCCAGGUGGGUGGAUCACCUGAGGUCAGGAGUUCAAGACCA